UGUGAGUCGAGAGUCUUCGGGACUCGGCAGACGGCUCAGUAACACGCGGAUAAUCUGCCCUUGGGUGGGGAAUAAUCUCGGGAAACUGAGCAUAAUACCCCAUAGGCCUGAGAUGCUGGAACGCCCUCAGGCCAAAAGCUCCGGCGCCCAAGGAUGAGUCUGCGGCCUAUCAGCUUGUAGUUGGUGUAAAUGACCAACUAGGCGACGACGGGUACGGGCAUUGGGAGAUGUAGCCCGGAGAUGGACUCUGAGACACGAGUCCAGGCCCUACGGGGCGCAGCAGUCGCGAAAACUUCACAAUGUGGGAAACCGCGAUGAGGGGAUUCCAAGUGCUUGCGUUUUGCGUAAGCUGUUCUCCUGCCUAAAAAGCAGGGGGAGUAAGGGCUGGGUAAGACGGGUGCCAGCCGCCGCGGUAAUACCCGCAGCCCAAGUGGUGGUCGAUAUUAUUGAGCUUAAAGCGUCCGUAGCCUGUCUGGUAAAUUCUUGGGUAAAUCGUGCAGCUUAACUGUCCGAAUUCCGGGGAGACUGCCAGACUUGGGACCGGGAGAGGUUGGAGGUACUCCUGGGGUAGGGGUAAAAUCCCGUAAUCCUGGGAGGACCAUCAGUGGCGAAGGCGUCCAACUGGAACGGAUCCGACGGUCAGGGACGAAGCCCUGGGUCGCGAACUGGAUUAGAUACCCAGGUAGUCCAGGGUGUAAACGCUGCGGACUUGGUGUCGGAGGUCCUACGAGGGCGUCCGGUGCCGGAGAGAAAUUGUUAAGUCUGCCGCUUGGGGAGUACGUCCGCAAGGAUGAAACUUAAAGGAAUUGGCGGGGGAGCAC
rnacentral:rRNA from 1 species